CUGACAGCUGACAGAUGUGCAUGGUGUGGCGUGUGUCUCUGUGUGUGUGUGUGUUGUGUGUGUGUGUAUGUCUGCAUACAUCUCAUUUCUUUUUGAAUUUUGCUCAUUUAUUUUUUUUUGAUGCGGGAGACAGACAUCCACCCUGAUAAUCUUCCCCGAUAACCUGUCCCUGGAUAUUGACUUGUUCCCCAUGAUAAACUGAGGAGGAGGCUGAGUCAGAUCGAGAAGAAACGAAAUAGAGUCCGUCGAGAAGAAAAUGAGCCAGGAGUCAAGAGGUGAUGACUAAUACAAAUGACAAAAACAGCUCCCUUGGUCAGAUUUGCCAUAGGGAAGUCACCAUCGGAAGAAUGAAAGAGGAUGAGGUUACAACUACUACUGCUCCGCCUCCUCUCCUUUUGGAGUUUGCCAUUUGCAGCUGUUCUUGCUUUUUGGUAGAAAUGGAGACACUCCCACCCACACUUCCCACAGGAAAUUAUUCCCUGCAGAGGCUGCAUUUGAGAUGAAGAGAAGAUGCAAAACUCCUCAGUUAAAGUUCAUGCAACUUCUUCGAGCAAGAUAAUGACUCCAACUGGAUUCAUGUCCGUCAGCAGGAUUUUCUCAAAACUCCAAGGAACCUCAUUUGCUCGACUUACCCUACCGAUGCUUGCCUGACUACUGGAGACACUGUGGGAGGAAGGAAUGCGUUUCUGGGAGUAGAGCAGUAUGACAUCAGCUACGAUGGAGAGAUGCCAGAUGCUGAGAUUUUACCUAUCAGACUAGCCAAGAGCACUUAUUUUGGUUCAGUAUCUGAUAUUACCCAGGAAGACAGGCUCCCUUUAUCUUUUCUCAAAAUCACUUUUUCCAUAGUCUCCACGUGAAAACUGGGAUGACGGUCUUCCCUGUGCACAGGACAUGGUAAUGAGAAGGCGUCUUCAUAAACCGUCUCCUGUAUUUCAGAGAUCUGGCUGCCAUCCAUGCGUUUGUCUACAUAACACCAAGCACUUGGAUACUUGGCAACAUCCACAUAUCCGACUAUUUUUCAGUUUGUCAUUUAGAUGGUAUAGACCUUGCCUAUGUCUCUGUAUGGUUUGAAUUGGGUGGCAGUGGAGUGUACAAAGGGCGAAAAGAAUUUCAACAACACCUUCUCUUAUUGAUUCGUGAGUUUUGUUUCUUCCAAGAGACUUCUCAAUCAUGGACGAUGGGUUGUAUUUUUAAUAUUGCCCAAAGAUGUAAAAUGCUUACAGUGAAGCAAGUCUAAGUAUAAUGCUAGCAAUUUGAUGAUAGGGAAUGAUGUAGAGACUGAUCUGAACGUUUCUGCUGGUGACCUGAGUUGGCACUAUUUAGAAUGCUGUGAUUUCAAUAUGGAAUAGACACACCUUGGUGCUCAGCUAUAAGUUUUAGGAGGCGUGGUCUAUCUGGAGAAGGAGAUCACUGUGGGCUCAUCUUGGGAAAGGGGUCAUCUCUUUUCCUGUCCCCACUUCGGCUUCCUAGAUGCCAUGAGGAGAAAAAUCCGAGAAUGAAGAAAAGAAGUGGUUGAUAAGGCCAUGUAAGGAAAGUUUGUAUACCUGUGACUCAGGAGCACCAAGAGUUACAUCUCUUAUCAACUCUCUACCAUGUUGGAGCUAAAUUUCUUCUCUUUAUGUUCUGCGUCAGAAUGGAAUCAUUAAUUCGUAGCAACACACACCAUUUCAAGUAUAUUUCUGUUUCUUUCAUUAGAAUGGUUAUAAAUUAAAUAUUUGUUGAGAAUACAUCUAAGGGGGCUAGAGAGAUGGUUCAUUGAUUAAGAUUACUUACUGCUUUCAUAGAUGCCUAGAGAUCAGUUUCUAGCACCCACACCAGACAGUUGACAACAUCUUGUAACUCAAGCUCAGGGAGAUCUGACCUCUUUGGGUUCCUUGGGUUCCGGUACUCAUGUGCACAUACUAAGCACACACAUCCACCACAUAUAAUUCAAAUGCUGAAUCUUCAAAGAUAACACA